UGGCCAAUGACAUCGCUCUGCUCCGUUUCGUACAGCCGGCCAGACGCCGGCCUCAUAUCGACGUCGUCUGCAUGCCUCAUCCGGGCCAAGUCUCCAAGACGGAAGGAACGCGCUGCGUCGUCACCGGUUGGGGACGCAAAUUGGAGGAUGGAACUCAUUCGGUGAUCCUGAAGGAGUUCAAGGUGUCUUUGUGGGACGACGCCAAGUGUCAGGCGGCGUUAUAGACCCAAUUUGGGCCCAAUUUCGUCCUGCCAUCCACGUCCAUCUGCGCCGGCGCAGAAGGCAGAGACGCUUGUGAUGGAGACGGAGGAGGUCCUCUCGUCUGCGAAAAAGAAGGUCAGUGGUUCCAGGUUGGUGUCGUCAGUUUCGGCAUCGGCUGUGGGCGGACCAAUUUGCCAGGCGUCUACACUCGACUCUCGGCUUUCGACGGAUGGAUCCACGAAACCAUCCGCAGUUUCAAGACCCUCUCCGGUUAAAAACAAGAUCAAAUAAAAGCAAGAAAUGUUGAUAAUUCUAAGGAUAAAAACAAAAAACAACAAAAAAUGGAACGAACUACGAUUGAUAUUAAAAUUAUAGAGUAAAUUGAGAGGGAAAGAGAUGACAUGCAACGACGAGUCGUGAAAACGUUCUGAAUUCAAGUGCAAUCCAUCCAUCCACUUUUGUUCGAAUUGGGGUCGAUAUCAUUUCACCUGGAAAAUUGGAAGGAGGUUAACAUUUUUACUUUGAAAUUAUUAUUAUUACCAUCCCCGUUUCCCCCAUCGUGAAAGCGAAUCUGUGCGGCCAAUUAGUUUUUUUUUUCCUCUCGAGAAAACGCAAAUAAAUUUAAUUAGGAACGGUGUUUUUCUGAUGAGGCAUUUACACUCCCAGCUAAGUGGGAAAAAAAGGGAAACGAAAAUACAUUUUUGUCAAGACACGGGAAAUGCUGAAGAGGCGCAGGGCGCAAAGCUGCAAGUUGGACAAGUGCGUGUUUUUUAUCAAAAUAUUUUGUUUUGCAUUUAUCUUAUUUUUUUAAGAUGACGAGACCUAUAUUAAAUAUCAUAGCGUACGAAUUUCAUGGGG